UGGGGAAUUUUGGACAAUGGGCGAAAGCCUGAUCCAGCAAUGCCGCGUGUGUGAAGAAGGCCUUCGGGUUGUAAAGCACUUUUGUCCGGAAAGAAAUCCUUGGCUCUAAUACAGUCGGGGGAUGACGGUACCGGAAGAAUAAGCACCGGCUAACUACGUGCCAGCAGCCGCGGUAAUACGUAGGGUGCAAGCGUUAAUCGGAAUUACUGGGCGUAAAGCGUGCGCAGGCGGUUUGCUAAGACCGAUGUGAAAUCCCCGGGCUCAACCUGGGAACUGCAUUGGUGACUGGCAGGCUAGAGUAUGGCAGAGGGGGGUAGAAUUCCACGUGUAGCAGUGAAAUGCGUAGAGAUGUGGAGGAAUACCGAUGGCGAAGGCAGCCCCCUGGGCCAAUACUGACGCUCAUGCACGAAAGCGUGGGGAGCAAAACAGGAUUAGAUACCCUGGUAGUCCACGCCCUAAAACGAUGUCAACUAGUUGUUGGGGAUUCAUUUCCUUAGUAACGUAGCUAACGCGUGAAGUUGACCGCCUGGGGGAGUACGGUCGCAAGAUUAAAACUCAAAUGAAUUGACGGGGUCAUAGCUGUUU
rnacentral:rRNA from 1 species